rnacentral:rRNA from 1 species
GACGAACGCUGGCGGCGCGCCUAACACAUGCAAGUCGAACGAUCGAGAUAGAUCUUGCUUUCUCAAGCGAGUGGCGAACGGGUGAGUAUCGCGUGAGGGACCUGCCUCAAAGAGGGGGACAACAGUUUGAAACGACUGCUAAUACCGCAUAUGCCCACAUUACAGCCACGACCAAAGGUAAAAGGAUCAAACCGCUUUGCGAUGGACUCGCCCCCGAUUAGCUUAUUGGUUAGGUAACGGCCCACCAAGGCAACGAUCGGUAGCCGGACUGAGAGGUUGGACGGAAACAUUGGGACAGAGAGACGGCGGAGAUUUCUACGGGAGGCAGCAGUGGGGAAUGUUGCACAAUGGGGGAAACAAUGAUGCAGCGACGCCGCAUGGAGGAAGAAGGUCUUAGGAUUGUAAACUACUGUUGUUGAGGAAGAUAAUGACGGUAAUUAACAAGAAAGUGACGGCUAACUACGUG